rnacentral:tRNA from 1 species
GUUUAAAUAGCUUAAUCUAAAGCAUGGCACUGAAAAUGCUAAGACGUACCCUAAAAAGUUCUUUAAACA